CACAGGCGCGCCUCUUACCGACGCUUUUACCUUCCUCAUCAUCGCCUACUCAACUGUAAACGCUCAGAAGCCAAUUUUUCCUGUCAACAAUUCACAAUUCAUAUUCACAAGACUAUAAUGCAGAUUGUACGAUAUGCGUUUUUAAAUGCAUGCGGUGAAGAGGAUGUGGAUGUGAUGAGUUCCCCACCUCGGCCAAGCCCUACGGCGAAGAUUCCAACGGUACUGUGGCACCAAUCAUACCUGCAGUAUGUGCAGCCUCAAUUGGUCCUCGACACAGAGAGAAAGUAGCACGGCUUCUACACACAUAUUGGUUUUGUUCAUACAUGUAUAAAUCAAUAAAACUAACACAUAGGAAUUUA